ACGAACGCUGGCGGCAGGCCUAACACAUGCAAGUCGAGCGAGGACUUCGGUCCUAGCGGCGGACGGGUGAGUAACGCGUGGGAACGUGCCCUUUGCUUCGGAAUAGCCCUGGGAAACUGGGAGUAAUACCGGAUGAGCCCUUUGGGGAAAGAUUUAUCGGCGAAGGAUCGGCCCGCGUUGGAUUAGGUAGUUGGUGGGGUAAUGGCCUACCAAGCCGACGAUCCAUAGCUGGUUUGAGAGGAUGAUCAGCCACACUGGGACUGAGACACGGCCCAGACUCCUACGGGAGGCAGCAGUGGGGAAUCUUAGACAAUGGGGGAAACCCUGAUCUAGCCAUGCCGCGUGAGCGAUGAAGGCCUUAGGGUUGUAAAGCUCUUUCAGCUGGGAAGAUAAUGACGGUACCAGCAGAAGAAGCCCCGGCUAACUCCGUG
rnacentral:rRNA from 1 species